rnacentral:snRNA from 1 species
GUGCUUGCUUAGGCAUCACAUAUACUAAAAUUAGAAUGAUUAGCAUGGUCCCUGCACAAGGAUGACACACAAAUUCAUGACUCAUUCCAUAUUUUU